rnacentral:lncRNA from 1 species
UUUAACAGAAACAUAAACCACUCAACUCUUUUUGAACUUUCUUUCACUUUUUUUUAACAAAAUUGAAGUGUUUGACUAUCCAAAAUUAAGAAAGAAAAAGAACUUAAUAAUUAUUUAUGACUAUUUCAAAAUUGAGUUAAUACCUUAAAAGCCUUGAAAACACAAACUUUAUAAAGCAUGUUAACACCCACAUACACAAUAAUAAUGAAACUCUAUCCCUCUUUUUUUCUCUCUUGGGCAAGUAUUGUAGCACUCAUAAGCACCACUUUUCUUCAAAUCUACUCCAUCUAAUUAACUUCAAGCUUUCCACUUUCUCUUCAUUUUCUUCACAAAAGGUGAUUAUUCUCUUCUCCUUCCUUUUCUCUCUACUUUCUUUUUCUUCUUCUAAUUAUUCUACUAGGUUAAAAUGGUAGGUUUGUUAGAGAUCUUGGUGAGAUUAGUUUCUAUCUUGAACAAUCCAAAGCUUCAUGGAGGCCUGUGGCUUCUUUGUUACUCUCUCUUUGAAAGUUUCUCAGUGAUUUUUUUCAUAAGAAGAGUUUUAUCGUAUGUGUAGAUUUAAUGAUUGAAAAAUGUGUUCUUAUUGUAAAAAAAAAAAAAUCUCAUGUAAUGAGCUAAUAAACAUACAAAAAUAUGUUAACCUUUUCAUUUUUGUUUGUAUUAAAACAUGAAAAAUUAUUAAAAUGGUUUAUUUAUAGUCAUAUUGAAUAAAUAAAUAAAUAAAGCAUUGAUGAAGUGAGUAAAAUAUUAAUUUUUUCUUCUUUAAAAAUCCUCCUUUUUUUAUUUCCUAUAAAUAUGCAUGCUUUUAAAUUUCAAAUAAUUUGAAUGUCUUUCUAAAGUUUUGAACAGAUAAUAUUUUUUAAACAAUGGAUUAUGCAGAUUGUUUUUUUUUUUAUUCAUUGCUUUUGAACAAUGGAUAAUUUUAUAUCUUUUAUAGACGAUUGAAAAAACACUUUAAUAUGUUUUAAUGUCUGAAGUUUUAGUUGUUUUUAUUUCAAUACUUUUCAACAAUAAUUACAACUUUGUUAAAAGCAAUUGAUUUUUUUUUACAAACACAAUGAAGAACCUGAUUAUGAAGCACAUUAAAUUGUCCAGAUUUGUUAGCAACCUCCUUCACAUGAUUCUCAUUCAUUCUAAAUGUUAUAAAAAAGUUGUUGAUAAAUUUUAUAAAUAUUAAAAACAUAUAUAACUUUUCUAAUAGAUGUAAUAAAACGUUGAAUGAUUUCAUGGCUAUAUAAUUAGCAAUUAAAUUGUUACAGGUGAGCUUUCUAAUACAUAUUUGAGUAUUAAUUUAAGGAACAAUUUUUUUACUUAAAUUAAUGUUUAAGAAAAUAUAAUACUUUUUUUCUUCAUGUUGCUUUCUAUAUUUUGACUUAAGACAAUUUUCUUUUACGUUCAACAUAUGAAAUAGAAAAUUUGAAAGGCCCUUCCGGAACUGAUUUUGGGACCCAAUAAGCAAGCAUAUUCAAGCCUGUUUCUUUCUACACCUCCAUAACACUCAUAUUUCUUAAAAUAUUAAAAAUAUCUUUUAUUCUAUUAAUGUUUUUCAUAAAAAAAAACUUUCAAAUUCUAUAAAUCAGAAUAUUUUUUUUUAUAAAUACAUUAUGGAUUAAAGAAUUCGUAAGGUAUUUCUGAAUCGGCAAAUACUUUUCAAAUUCUACACUCAGGAUGUGUAAAUUAAGAAAAAUACAUUCCGAAUUAUAAAAUCCAAACUAUAUUGGAAUUUUCACUACAAAAAAUCAUGAAAUAUAAAUCAAUUUUUAGAGACCAAAAUAAUUAGUUACAAUAGUAACUAAAUUAAAGACCAUUUUAGAAACUAAAAAAAAUUGAUUUCUAAAUUAGUUUUUAUUAUUGCUAAAUAGUUUCUAAAUUGGUAUCUAAUUAGCAACCAAGAUUUUUGCUACCAAAUUUAGAAACUAUAUAAUUAGUAGUUAAAACCUUAUUGCCAAUUAAAUAUCAAUUUAGAAACUAUUUAAUAAUAAUAUAAACUAAUUUAGAAAUCAAAUUUUUUUAGUUUAUAAAAUAGUAUCUAAUUUAGUUACUAUUGCAAAUAAUUAUUUUGGUAUCUAAAAAUUGAUUUCUAUUUCAUGAUUUUCUUGUAGUAUUUAUAAUCCAAAAUAUAUUUUUUUUUUUAAAAUAAAAUAUUUUGGAUUGUAAAAUCCGGAAGGUAUUUCUGCAUUCUACAGUCCAAGAUAUGUAAAUAGAAAAAAUAUAUUAGGGAUAAAAUGGUUUUUUUAUUUUUUUAAGAAUAAAAUGAUUUUUUUGUCUCACCUAUGGAGGUGCCUGGAGAAAUUGCGAAGGUACAGGAAGAAACAAUCCUCUUCAACUACUCCUUUGUGUUACACUUGCUUGUGAGGUAUUUUAUUUUGUACCCCCAUAGUUUGAAGUUGCACCUCCAGAAGAUGGUAAAAUGACCAAUUUGCCCUUAUCUUCUUCAUCAAACAUGCAUCCUUUCUUUUCCGCUUUUCCUUAUCUCGGGAUCUAUCAAUUCACCGGUUCUUUUUUUAUUUAUUUACUUCCAUGAAAGUAUUGGAAAAUUUAAAAAUAUUGAUGAUUGUGUACUUUUAUUAUUUUCUCUUAUGAGUAUCAUCAUCUUUUUACCUCUCCAUAUAUUGAAUGUGUGUGAAAAAUCAUUCGAUGAAGGAAAAUCCCAAUUACGCAGUUUAGACAAAAAAAAAAAUGCAUGGACACGCAAUGGGAUAGUGAUUAUCCAAUGGAAGCUUUGUAUCAUUUGAUUUGUGAAAUGCACAACAUAAAACAGCAAAAUAGUAAAUGGAAAUCAGAUUAUUGUGAAACUUGGUAUCAUUUUGAUUGCACAAUAUACAAAUAUAACAAAAUUGUUACAGCCUUUAGUGAUCAAAUAUUCAAUUGUAUACAUUAUACCAAAAUAAAUUCAAAUUAUAGAAGAGAAAGGAUACAUCAAAAGCCAAGAUAUAUGUAUGCAAAGUAAUAAUCUAUACACAAAUUAACUAUGAGUGUCCACUCCAAACUUGUUUCACUCUCAUCAUGUGAAGGCCAAAGUAGUUGCAAUAUCUUGUCUACUUGCCUCCUUUAUUAAGAAUUUUUAGCAGGAUUCAAGAAUGGAGGCCAAGAAUCUCAACCAAGGAAAGAUCAAUUUGAGGAAGAAGAUGGUGCAGCAGAGGGCUUGAAAGCCUUUUGUUCAGCACAGGAGAGAACUUCAUUAGUCCCUGCCUCUUCUCUGCCAACACCCAUGAGAUCAAGGUAAUAAAGAUAGUGAGAAAUGAUGUUGUUCAUGGCCUCAUUAUCAGAUCCCUGCCCACAAGUUUGGUCCCCAUAGAGCAAGUUUAUUGUGGCACCAAAUCCAGGUACCCUUUUGGACAAUGUGUCAUUCUUGGUGGGUUUCCAUUUCCCAACAAACACAUCAUGAGGUGAUGGUAGGUGCUUCUCAGGUGGGGUCAUCCACUGCCACAUUGCAGCCUGGAAGGCUAGGGUGGCAUUUUGUUCUAUGUAUUCUGGAUGGUUCAACAGAUCCACCUUCAAGGCUUCCCCAGCUUUUCCAUAGUUGUAGUUCCUGUUAUCAAGGAAGAAAACACAAGGAGUUUGAUCACAACUAUUGCUCAAAAUUUGGUAAAAUCUUUGCAUAAAAUGCUUCUGACUAACCACUUCUACAACUAGACUUGUAUAAGGCAUUUUUUGUUUCUGCUUAUGAAGUUAACACAAGCUAAGAAGUCUAAUGUUUAUGCAGAUGUUAUCAAAAUAAGCAAACAGAUGUAAUAAAUACUCCAAAUGGUGGAUAAAAUCCACCAGACAUUAUUUUAUGUUACAAGAUUAUGAGGUUCUGAUGAAAUACAUUAAUAUGUGGAAAACAAAUAAAUAAGGAGGUUUUCAAGAAUGGAAGCAUAGAUUACAUUGAAAUCUUCAUAAUGACGCAAGUUUGGUCAUGGAUACGUUUAACAUGUUUUUCUUACUUACAUUAAUGUUUCGAAACUUUAGUUUGCAUGAGAUCUAUAAAAAAGGUUGAGGUAUAAGGAUUGAGGUUGGAAGACAUUUCUGUUUUUAAGGAUUGAGGUAUCCUUAAAAUACUUCCAUUAUUUCUCAUUAAAAAAACAGUUUACGAAAAAAAUUUGAUAAACAUGUAAUAUGAUGGAAACCACAUAAUUUUAGACCAUGCUGUAAUUUCUUCAAAUGUAGAGUGAUGAAAUUAAAGGAUAUUGAAGAAAUCUGAAUAUGUGAGUACCAGUAAAGUGGAAUGGCACCACGACCAUGGUAUGCUGCACCAGGAGAGCAAGGGUAGGUCAAUUUGUAGUAUUCAUCGCAGUAGAGUUUAUCAGGACUCAAUUCUUUGUUGUAGCAUAAACCCCAGGCUAAGGGUCCCCCAGUAGCCACCCCAUAACCACCUGAAACAUUAUUCCAACAAUGAUUACCAUACAAUUUCAUGGUCUUAAACAAAUUACCAUGAAAUAAUCAAAUUGUUAUAAUAUCAUCAUAUGUCUAUACAACGGCCCCUCACUUGAAAUAUUGAGAUCAUGAAUUCAACAAAUUGAAAAACAUAAUUGUAUAAGAAUAAGGGUAUCCCCAACAAUGAUCAUAUAUAUUCAUAUCAGAUGUGGUAUCAUCAAAAAAAAACACUUCACACAAUUCAAUUUGUCAAUCAAAUAUAGUUUUGCGUGUGAAUUGCAGUAGUAGCAGAACUGUAAAAACAAAGGAAUAAGAAGAUUUUUAAGAAUGAAAGAAUAGAUAGUCAUAAAAUCUUCAUUAUGCAUAAUUGAGGAUCUGGUCGUAGGUAAACUGCGAAGGAAAAAUUAAUAUGUUUUUCUUAUUCUGAUUGUUAUCUUGAAUCACUCUCGUAUGUACGAGGUUUAUCAAUAUGAGUAAAAGUUAUAUGUGCACGGUUAGAAGAGUUUGAUCUCUUUAGUGUUUUUGGUAAUAGAAAAAAAUGAUUCAUAUGUGAAAGAAAAGUGACUCACAAGAGGUUUUGCUGCCAACAUGGCCAAGGAAAGCUGCAACCUCCUUCUGGCCAUUGGUGGUUCCUCCGGUGGUGCCAAAGCCAAGAGGCUGAUACAGAGCUGCAGCAGUGAUAAAAGAACGGUAGUCCCAGAAUCCAAC